UGAGGAAUCUUGCGCAAUGGGGGAAACCCUGACGCAGCAACGCCGCGUGAGUGAGGAAGGUCUUCGGAUCGUAAAGCUCUGUCGGAUGGGAAGAAAUGUGUGCCGGUUAAUAGCCGGUACGCUUGACGGUACCAUCAAAGGAAGCACCGGCUAACUCCGUGCCAGCAGCCGCGGUAAUACGGGGGGUGCGAGCGUUGUUCGGGAUCAUUGGGCGUAAAGGGCGUGUAGGCGGCUGGAUAAGUCAGAUGUGAAAUCCCUGGGCUUAACCCAGGAAGUGCAUUUGAUACUGGUUGGCUUGAGUAGGGGAGAGGAAAGUGGAAUUCCUGGUGUAGAGGUGAAAUUCGUAGAUAUCAGGAGGAACACCGGUGGCGAAGGCGACUUUCUGGCCCUAUACUGACGCUGAGACGCGAAAGCGUGGGUAGCAAACA
rnacentral:rRNA from 1 species